AGCCGCACAGGGCCAACGGAGUCUGGCGCUGGCUCAGGGGGAAAAAUGGUUCAACGAGGAAAAGGAAUAAGACCUCGAUACUAUGGAACACUCGGGCCAGUUCCUUGGAGGCCAUUGUUGAUUACCUGGUGACUGCCGUCAUAAAACAAGAUCUAAACUAUGUUCAUAUGUUUCUGGAAAUAUACCGCACAUUUGCUACCACCCAGGAGGUGCUGGCACUCCUCUUUGCAAGAUUCGGAUGUGUUUACUCCACGGAUGACGAGGUCGGCGGGCCCCAGGAGCAGCACAACAUGGCCGUCUAUGCCAUCCUGGAUACGUGGGUGGAAAGGUAUCCAGGGGAUUUUGUGCAGCCUCCGGACUUUCCCAGCUUGCACGCGCUGCUGGC